AUGUUGAUGAAGAUGCUCAAUAUCGCCGUGAAUCGUUGCUCGAAGAUGCUUGAUAUGAAGAAGAUGAAGACAAUUGAUGCGAUGAAGAUGAAGAGGAUGCAAUUAUUUCAGCUUGUUGUUGGAUGGAUCAUUGUUGCAGAUUGCGAAAUUUUGUUGCCAAGAGGGAUGAAGAAUUUGUUGUGGUUGUUUCAGAGAAGGAAGGUUGAUAACGGUGAUGGAAGGAGAAGAGAGAUUUUGAGAAAAAUGAAGGUCGACGAAGAUUGGAGAGUGAUGGAGUUUGAAGGUGGUGGAAGGAGGUGA